rnacentral:rRNA from 1 species
AUUGAACGCUGGCGGAAUGCUUUACACAUGCAAGUCGAGCGGCAGCGCGGGGGCAACCCUGGCGGCGAGCGGCGAACGGGUGAGUAACAUAUCGGAACGUACCCAGUCGUGGGGGAUAACUAUCCGAAAGGAUAGCUAAUACCGCAUACGUCCUGAGGGAGAAAGCGGGGGAUCGCAAGACCUCGCGCGAUUGGAGCGGCCGAUAUCGGAUUAGCUAGUUGGUGGGGUAAAGGCUCACCAAGGCGACGAUCCGUAGCGGGUCUGAGAGGACGACCCGCCACACUGGAACUGAGACACGGUCCAGACUCCUACGGGAGGCAGCAGUGGGGAAUUUUGGACAAUGGGCGCAAGCCUGAUCCAGCCAUGCCGCGUGAGUGAAGAAGGCCUCGGUUGU